GGUGGUUCUCGGGUGACACAGCCCAGAAUCGGGCUCCCUCCUCUCUGGUUCCGUGCAUCACCUGAGAACCACA
rfam:Myotis davidii contig127464, whole genome shotgun sequence.